rnacentral:antisense_RNA from 1 species
CUUGACCGAGCCGAGCCAGAGCGGGUCCUCCCCGGCCCGCUCCUGCCCGUAGGUGGCCAGCAGCGCCUGCGCUUC